AGUGUCACUGGCUGCAGGCCCCGCUCUCCACAGCACCAACACAAUUCGUUCCCCUCACCAUGACACAAAACCACCACAAUGUCCUCCCCACCACGGCAUCACCACAAUGUCCUCCCCCCACCACGACACCACCACAGUGUCCUCCCCCCACCACGACAUCACAGUGUCCUCCCCCACCACGGCACCACCACAGUGUCCUCCUCCCCCCACCACAACAUCACCACAGUGUCCUCCCCCCACCACUUAGACAUCACCUCACAGUAACUCCUCCCCCACCAUGUGACACCACCACAGUGUCCUCCCCACCACUUGCACCACCACAGUGUUCCUCCCCACCACGACAUCACCACAGUGUCCUCCCCCCACCACGACAUCACCACAAUGUCCUCCCCCCACCACACUUACCACAAUGUUCCUCUUAAUUAAUUUACACUACUACUACUGUCUGCCCCCCACCACUCCACACCACCACCAGCCAAUGUCCCCCCACCACGACAUCACCACAAUGUCCUCCCC
rnacentral:lncRNA from 1 species